CCGGCAGAUGUCAACACAAGGUGCAUGUAAACUAGGCAUUAUGGGUAUUGUAGUUUAGACGUCGAGCGGCUGUAUAGAGGGCAUGGAUAAAGUGACUACAUUACCCGAGUAAGCAGAGAAGUACAGUUUAUAGAGAGACGAGACGACGAGGCUCCAGUUCAUUCAGCGCAAAGACAGCAAUAAAUAUACACUUUAAGACUAAGCUUUACAAAUCAAACCAGUUCAAGUUUCAGCAACCUCAUUCCUGCAAUUUGUUGACACAUAAAAGUUGACCUCUGACCUUGAUGUCAAGGUCAUCGGUUUUUAAACUUGUUUGAGAUUAUAAGUAGAUGCACCUAUAACAUCAACUUGAAAAAGCUACAUAGCCUCAUUCUCGAGUUGUCACAUUCACAGAGUGUCCACGCUGCCCACUGGUGAUGAAUAUCAGUCUUUUAUGGCUGAUGAUAAAAACAGUGGCAGCUACAGUAGUAGGAAAUGUACAGGAGAAGCUAAUGGCAAUAGAUGCAGGAUGCACUGACACGACAUGUAGCUGUAGCUCCUUAGCUCCACCAUGGAGUCAUAGUGUCCAAAUGAAACAAAGGAGCAAAGAACUGUGCAAACACACAAAUGCGCUGAGGUCCUCUCCCAAAGGCCUCGGAGUUUGAGCGUCAUGCCCAGUAUUUCAACCGUUCCUGGGACUGGAGUCCUCUGCACAGAGAGCACUGAUGUGCCUGGAAUGAGCCGCUCUUCCAGUUUGGGGAUUACGACUUCCAGUUCUUCCGUCACCACUGUGACUACUGUGUCUUUACCUUACAAUAUAAAGCACGUUGAGGUAACUGUUGCUGUUAUUUGGCACAAAUAAAACUGAAUUGACUGAAUGUUGUCCAUUGCCACAACUAUCACUUCUGCUCCUUGUCAACCACCACUAUGUCAGGCUGUUAGGCCAGCAGCUACCCAUCUGUCUGGAACUUCCCCCAGGACCCAAGGAAGCAUUGAAGUCCCACAGCACCUUAGCCCUGUCAUUUUCAAUCAUCUUUGGUGGUUUCCCAUCAGAAUUUUGGACUUUUGAACUUUUAAAUUCAUUUGCUGCAUCGAUGUUCCUGUAAUCUAUCCCAGCCACUUGGUGCGUCUCAGUCUAAGGGCAUAGUAGGAGGAUGUAAGAAGCUAGGAAUGUGUGUACUGUUUCUGAGGCACUUUUUCACAGUCUGCAACUUGAAUUUUGUUGGCUGUGGUAGAUUGCUACAUCUGUGGAUCCAGUUCAUGUGCUGCCAUGAUCAGAGCCUCUGUGCUGUCCUGUAGGCCAGUCAUUUCUCGCCACUGGUAGGAUCUCUCAAUUUCUGCCACUAACAUCCAGGAUUGUGGUUUUAAUACUCACUGUUCCUGUCUCCCCCCCUUUCUGUGGCUUGUAGCGGCUGUGGAUCCCUGAGUGCACUGUGAGGAGUUUUCAUGUCUUGACAUCAGUGGCAUCUAUUUCUUCCUGUCAUAUUUAUAGCUCAGAUCUGCUGAAGGUCAUUUUGAAGGGCUCAUCCUGUUCCUCCUUGAUAGGACAAGGCCAUCUUAACUUCUUUGCCAGAUUAAAUAAAACUCUCAUAUCUGAUUCUUUGUUAUGGGAA